AUAGCAGCCCACUGCAAACACAACUUGCAGGUGGGAUAAAUACUGGUCGUACAAGCAGCAUGCUGAAAACACAACUCGCAUCUACAACACCUGCAACUACUGCUAAUACUCGCAUAACUAGGAGUGCUGUGAAUAAGUCACAAACAGCCCAAAACAAAGGAGGGAAUCUAGCAGUUUCUUAUACUACUACAAAAGCACUGAAGGAUGAUGCGGCUAAGAAACGAGCAUUAGGCAAAGGGAAAGAACCAGCAGGCAAUGCACAGGAGGAAUAUGGAGUUUGAAUGGAGCACACGGUUGAUGGAAUGAUCAACAUCAAGGCAACCAUACCAUUGUUGUAGUGCUCCAUAGCUCAUUACAAUUUGAUGUGAUCAAACUAGAUAGUGAUUUGUGUUGGAUACCUUAUAUGUUUCAUUUGUGUGUGUGUUAUCAACUAAGGUUGACAUUGGAUGGUUUUGGUUUCAUUUAUAUUUUGUAUGAACAGACCAUAUAUUGGUUUAAUGGAUGUCUAAAUAUUU